GUUUAGCCACCUUCUCCUUCUUCUAUUUCCUUUUAUUUGUAGUUUUAUGAUGGAGACUGUGGAAGAGCCAGAAUAUCUGUUAGCAAGUAUCUGGGUGGGAUGGUGUUCCUCUCCCUAUUCUAUGUGCUGCUGAUGGAAUGAAUAGUGCUGAGCUCUCAUCUCUCAUUCUUUUGGUCCAAAGUCAAUCAGUUUUACAGCUGAGUUCUGUGAUGUUGAUGAAGAGUGAAGCCAGUAUAGGUGAGCGAGAGCAGGGAGAGCUCCCACAUUUUCUGCAGCAGUUUCUCUGCUCUAAGGAGACAAGGAUGUUUUUCAGAAGUACCCACUGAAACUCUCCUUUGGCUGCAGUGUGUUGUCGAGCAGAGGAAAAUAAACUAAAAUACAAUCAGCA
rnacentral:lncRNA from 1 species